rnacentral:rRNA from 1 species
UACGGAGGAUUCAAGCGUUAUCCGGAUUUAUUGGGUUUAAAGGGUGCGCAGGCGGCCUGUUAAGUCAGCGGUAAAAGCCCGGGGCUCAACCCCGGCGAGCCGUUGAAACUGGCGGGCUGGAGUUGGAGAGAAGUAUGCGGAAUGCGCGGUGUAGCGAUGAAAUGCAUAGAUAUCGCGCAGAACUCCGAUUGCGAAGGCAGCAUGCCGGCUCCACACUGACGCUGAGGCACGAAAGCGUGGGGAUCGAACAGG